AUACGUAGGGUGCAAGCGUUAUUCGGAAUCACUGGGCGUAAAGGACGCGUAGGCGGGUUGGCAAGUCAGAUGUGAAAUCCUACAGCUUAACUGUAGAACUGCAUUUGAAACUGCUAACCUAGAGUAUGGGAGGGGGAGAUGGAAUUAGUGGUGUAGGGGUAAAAUCCGUAGAUAUCACUAGGAAUACCGAAAGCGAAGGCGAUCUCCUGGAACAUAACUGACGCUAAGGCGUGAAAGCGUGGGGAGCAAACAGGAUUAGAAACCCUAGUAGUCC
rnacentral:rRNA from 1 species